GGUGGUUCACAGGUGAUGCACUCCAGAAUCGGGCUCCCUCCUCUCUGGUUCCGGGUGUAUCACCCUAGAACCUCA
rfam:Myotis brandtii contig204913, whole genome shotgun sequence.